AAAGUCUGAUGUUUUACACUCUGCGUGGGUUCCUCUGUUAUCUGUGUGUAGCACACACUUGUGGGAACGUGCGCUGGGAGUUUGCGAUUCAGGCUGUGCCUGCGUGAGAUUGCAAGCUCUCAUGUCCUGCUGUGCGCAUGUUAACCACACUCAUCCUGUACGUCGAGCCACUCGCCUGGGAACCGAUCUGCUCCGCCUUACGCUCAACACCACCGCCGCCACCCUCAUCCUACCCCUCCCAUCUGUUUUCCUCUCUCUACCCGCUGUGGGUCUCAGUGUUUCUAUGCCUCGAGGUGAGAAAGUCACGUUUUUAGCUACAACUCUGCAUGGCUGAGCUUUGAGUGAGUCCUGAAUUUCCAGAAGAGAUGUCCCUGAAUGGGAGGACCCCUUAGUGACCCGAGUCGGGCUGCAGAAAGCGAAAGCGUUUCAGUCCACAGUAGUGACAGGAUGUUAUUCUAGCAAGCACUUUAGUGUGUUUCUCCCCAGAAGCACAAAGAACAACAAAAAAUGAACACUAGAGCAGGGAGAGGGUUGCAUAUCACGGACAUGCGCGAGUGUCCAGAUUGCACGUCAGUGUCACCACCAGAUCGUGAGUAAUAUCCCGCAACCAAUAGAAAUCACAAGACAAAAAACUCAAAAUGCAGUUUUUCAAACCCAAUGAAAAAGAAAGAAGCAGAAAUGUUAUGAUGAGACCUACGCAACACUGCUAAGUUGAUUCCUGACCCCUUCCACGAGAAAGGGGAAACUGAUAAAUUACUGUAUUCAAGCUUAUGUUGCUUUUUCCUUCCACUCGAUUUUCCAGAGACACCUGAAGCCUUGAGAGCAGGGUAACAUAAAGCUCAUUUACGAUGCUGAGUAAAACUCACAGGGCAUGGACUGAGGCUGGAGCCUGGACCAACUCUAAACAUCUUGAUGUAACUUUACAUCUUGCAUAAUUGUUCAGGCAAUAAACCACAAUGGCUGUGGUCCCCAAACUAAGGAAAGACCUUCACACAGAAUAUCCAUGACAACUCUCCAUCUCCUCUUUGCCCCUUAUGUCUUAUUAAUAGUACUACUUAAGGAUUUUUUAAAGAUGUAAUAAUAUUAACAAUACUAUCAUCAUUUAUUAAUGUGUUUCACAUCCACCACAUAAUGAAAAUUUUACACAAAAAAGGUAAACCUCAGAAACUUAACUUUUUAAAGAUAAAGCAAAUUAAACAAAUACACUUUGUGAUGCUAAAAUCAGCUUACCUAACAUUUUAAAUACAUUAUCUUUUACAGAUAUUUCUCCUUUAGUGCUCUUUCUUAUGUCUCACCAGUUUUUGUAUAUUAUGAUCAAAGUACUAAAACAAAUUGUGGUGAUCCUGGGUGCUCGGGUGGUUUUCCUGCUGCUUCUCGCUCUUUCCACCAGGGGCCGCCUGGUGGAUGAUCUCUGGUGGGCGUGACCAGGGACGCUGGGAUCCUCACACCUGUCGGAGAUUUUCUCAUCUCCGAAGAGAUUUAAGAGUGGAGUCAACCAACACAUCGAUGCCAGAUUGUUAACCAGUAAUGACAACCUCCUCGAGACGUCCUGGGUCACCCCCCGAGGCUUUGAGUUCCUGGCUGUACCUGACCCUCUUACCCCUCGCCGGUUGCCCACCUCGAUCUGCCCCGGUAAGCUGAGGCCCGCAGCUGUCCGCCCUCUGACGCCGUCUGCUGGUUUCCCCCCUACACCGGCUGGUCCGCAGCAGAUUGCCACACCCGAAACGACCCCAGGAAAUACCAGUAUCCACCCCCGCUUACCUGCCGCCUGACAGUAAGAUUGGUCCCGCUCAUUCAGAACCCGGACAUCCACAGACCUUUACUCAUCACUCAUCCUCUCUUCCAGCCCGUUCCUGCUGCCGAGUUCCUUGAACCCUGCUGAAGCUCUAUUGUUUUGUUGUUUUUUUUCAUUAAACAUCUUUUACUGAUACUUGGUUCUCUUGUUUCUGCAUGUGAGUCAAAAAGUUACCUCCCAGCAUGACACAAAUAAGCGGAAAUGAUUUUAACAAAAAAACAAUUCAAACUUGAGUGUCUGUUCUAAAAACGCAGCUUCCAACAUGGUGCUGGUUUUCAGGGCCAGGCUGCUGCUCGCAACAUGGCCGACACUAGAGUAUCUUUUCUAUCAUGCAACAAAGUUGAAUGAGUUUCUACUACUUUGUUUCUAUGCUUCGGUUUAUUGUAACGGGGGAGAAAAAAAAAA